AUUGAACGCUGGCGGCAUGCCUUACACAUGCAAGUCGAACGGCAGCGGGGGAGAAGCUUGCUUUUCCUGCCGGCGAGUGGCGAACGGGUGAGUAAUACAUCGGAACGUGCCCUGUAGUGGGGGAUAACUAGUCGAAAGAUUAGCUAAUACCGCAUACGACCUGAGGGUGAAAGUGGGGGACCGCAAGGCCUCAUGCUAUAGGAGCGGCCGAUGUCUGACUAGGUAGUUGGUGGGGUAAAGGCCUACCAAGGGGAAGAUCAGUAGCUGGUCUGAGAGGACGAUCAGCCACACUGGGACUGAGAAACGGCCCAGACUCCUACGGGAGGCAGCAGUGGGGAAUUUUGGACAAUGGGCGAAAGCCUGAUCCAGCAAUGCCGCGUGUGGGAAGAAGGCCUUUGGGUUGUAAAGCACUUUUGUCCGGAAAGAAAUGGCUCUGGUUAAUACCUGGGGUCGAUGACGGUACCGGAAGAAUGAGGACCGGCUAACUACGUGCCAGCAGCCGCCGUAA
rnacentral:rRNA from 1 species